rnacentral:rRNA from 1 species
AACGAACGCUGGCGGCAUGCCUAAUACAUGCAAGUCGAACGAGAUCUUCGGAUCUAGUGGCGCACGGGUGCGUAACGCGUGGGAAUCUGCCCUUGGGUUCGGAAUAACUUCUGGAAACGGAAGCUAAUACCGGAUGAUGACGUAAGUCCAAAGAUUUAUCGCCCAAGGAUGAGCCCGCGUAGGAUUAGCUAGUUGGUGGGGUAAAGGCCCACCAAGGCGACGAUCCUUAGCUGGUCUGAGAGGAUGAUCAGCCACACUGGGACUGAGACACGGCCCAGACUCCUACGGGAGGCAGCAGUAGGGAAUAUUGGACAAUGGGCGAAAGCCUGACCCAGCAAUGCCGCGUGAGUGAUGAAGGCCUUAGGGUUGUAAAGCUCUUUUACCCGGGAUGAUAAUGACAGUACCGGGAGAAUAAGCUCCGGCUAACUCCGUGCUAGCCGCCGCGGUAAAAC